GUCACUUUGCCGGAGUGGUUAACGGGAUCGCCUGCUAUUCAUAGCGUCAGCGGUUGGGCUUUGCCCGCGUGUGUUCGAAUCGCACAGGUGACG